rnacentral:rRNA from 1 species
GACGAACGCUGGCGGCGUGCCUAAUACAUGCAAGUAGAACGCUGAAGGAGGAGCUUGCUUCUCUGGAUGAGUUGCGAACGGGUGAGUAACGCGUAGGUAACCUGCCUGGUAGCGGGGGAUAACUAUUGGAAACGAUAGCUAAUACCGCAUAAGAGUAGAUGUUGCAUGACAUUUGCUUAAAAGGUGCAAUUGCAUCACUACCAGAUGGACCUGCGUUGUAUUAGCUAGUUGGUGGGGUAACGGCUCACCAAGGCGACGAUACAUAGCCGACCUGAGAGGGUGAUCGGCCACACUGGGACUGAGAAACGGCCCAGACUCCUACGGGUGGGAGCAGUAGGGAAUCUUCGGCAAUGGACGGAAGUCUGACCGGGCAACGCCGCGUGAGUGAAGAAGGUUUUCGGAUCGUAAAGCUCUGUUGUAAGAGAAGAACGAGUGUGAGAGUGGAAAGUUCACACUGUGACGGUAUCUUACCAGAAAGCGACGGCUAACUACGUG